AUCUGAUCAAAAAUAUAAGUAAUGCAUCUCAUCUGAUCUCAGAAGCUAAGCAGGAUCUUGCCUGGUUAGUACUUGGAUGGGAGACCACCUAAGAAGACCAGGUGCUAUAGGUG
rnacentral:rRNA from 1 species